ensembl:lncRNA
UCAGUCGAAGCAAAUUUUGGCGGAGGGAUGAACUCAGGACUGGGGUUCAGUUUUUGUUACGUCGUUGGAGUUUUUCACCCUCAGCGUGCAGAACAAUGAAUGUGCAGUGUUUUUUUGUACAAUAAUUUGUCAAAUUUGGAUUGUUUCUGACCAUAUAUAUGACAAAAAUGAACAAGCAAUAUUGUAGUAAUAUAACUAGCCUGGAAGCCAAUCAGGGAAAUAUGAAGACUAACGAUAGACUUCUCGGUUUGUGUGUAGUUGUUAAACUUCAGAAAAAUAAAAUAUAUGCAUAGUCAUGGUUUUUAAAAUUGUUUAUUAAUUUAAAAGAAUUAUUCCAAGUAGAGUAUUUUCAUAUAUAUUGUAGAUAUGUUUGUUUUUUUAUCACAGCUCAGACAGCGACCCAAACGCAGAUGUGAGGAAUAAGCUUUAAUGAAGAGGAAUUCGGGCAGGCAGUGUCGUUGUCGGAGGCAGGCAGGGGUCAGUACACGGGGGAUCUCUAGAAUCGACUGGGAACUACGGGGAUACACCGCUGGUAAGACCGGGUGAAACACACAAGACGAACUGGCAACAAGAACAGGGAGAAGAUACAAGUUAUAUGCCCAAGGGAUAAUUGACAAACAGGGAACACCUGGUGUGGGAGGAGACAGGGGAAAAACAGGUGAAAACAGGUGAACACAAUUAGGGCGUGACAGUUUUAAAGCCUGUAGCUUUAAUCAAAACAAAUUUCACAAUUAAUCAUACUUCAGAAGAGGAUGUAAUUGGCAAAGCAAUGUAUAGUUACAAUUACAUUCAUUUAAAUAGGGAAUAAUAUAAGAAAUUUCAGCUGUACAAAAUCCGGACACAGAUCGGACGCACUGUGUGAACCUGAAGCUGAUGCUGAACAUGGAUUCACGUAAGGCGCUGGAACAACUAGUGAGUGGCAAGGAUGAGACGGGGGCCAGUGCAGCCAUGUCAGCUAUUAAACUGUCUUUAAUUUAAAUUGAGAAAUUGGUGUAAUGCACUUGCUUCCUUUCUUAAGAAGCUUUUUGAAAGAUUGAUUGCUUCUGACCAGGCUCGCACCAUGUAGGUCAGAUACUGAGCCUUAUUUUAGUCUCUUCAUUAUUUGCAAAAGGAGAGAGGGAGCAGCGGGGAAGGGAAGAGACAGAGAAAGCCCUUUGAAAGGAGCCUCUGAACCGUCUUCUGAGCUGAACUCACGCUGUCUCCGGGUGGAAGUUGAGUUCUUGAUGAGCUACAUUGUGAGUUUUCAAAGUUCGUGAGGCAUGAAGCCAUCUCUAAAGCUGACAGGUUGUUUUGAUCCCGCGGUUUGCUGUGAUUUGUUUCUGAUUAAUGUGGAAUUUGAUCUUUUUAUUCAUGUGAAUACACCUCUCCUGCUAAAACACACACACAUGCUGUGAUCCUUAAACCUCACUCUGCUUCAACACAAUCUCACAGCGCUGACAGACCAAAUGUGAUGGCUGCCAAAAUACAGCCGACUCCAAAAGAACUGCGUCCCAGAGCUGCGUGUGUGGGAACACACUCCUGCUUUUGGAGAAAAAGAUUAAAAAUACCCCCUUAAGGAAAAAAUGUAAGGAAAUAAAACACAUAAAAGUAUCAUACUACUUGAAAGCCAUUUCUCUGAGAAUUUAUAGCAGCGAGUAUAACGCAUUAUAGUUGAAACCAGACCACGGUAAGCAGAGGAUGUUCCAGGUGAAACAAGAGAACGUUUCUUCUCAUUUUAUUUGCCUCUAGACAACGUAAAUACAAGCUUACUGGUCCAAGAUAACAUUUUUAAAAAGUCAACACUUCACAGACUGAAACCUCAGCAGAGCAUUCCUGAUAAUGACCUGAAAGUGGCACCAUCGCAUCCUUUCACGAUUUUUACUCGUCCUGGAGGAGAAACGGCGGCUUGUGUGUGGUUACAGACAAAGCCCAAACUGACCAAUCGUGUUCUUACCAGCUCCUCAUGCUGCACUCCAUCGUCUCAGUAGUCCCAACGUGUAAUAUUGUACUCUUUUAUUAAACAUGCUGAGCUACAGAGAAACCUCAUCCCGGCUACUUGAUCCAAUUCUGUCACUCACAGCCCUGUGAAUGUAGGAGAGCGAUGGAAUACAGAUUACGGUCAAAGUGAGAGAAGUUCUCCGUCCUCAGUUCAAAAAAACAAUUCACAUCAAAACUGUAUUUAUAAUUACUUAUCUCAAUAUGAUAUUGGCAUGACAACGAUAAUAGCAAUAGUAUCACUGACAAAUAGUCUGCCUUGUCUCUCCUAAUUUAGAGCAAAUCCCAGUCGUCUUUAACCACGGGUCAGCAAGUGACCGGAGAGGAACGCAAAUUGUUUGACUGUGUGAAGCUAAUAGCUGGAUGUAGCAGGGAUAAUGUCACUGGACUGUGAAUGUGGAAUGACAUCCAGUAGAAAGUGUGUGUGUUCGCGUGUGUGUGUGGUGUGCUUAAGCAAUGAGGACACCACCCACCCACAUUAUUACCCCCACCCCCUCCCCUCCCUUUCCUCUCUUUGCGCUGUUGAAGGUCAGGAGACGGAGUCGGGCGGAGAGCAGCAUGGAGCGGGUGGUCGUCUGGAAGCCAGCUCAUUAAAACAUUCCUGUAAUCAAGUAGCAAAAUAUUCCAGGACCCAGCUACAGAUUUACUAACCAACAUGAUAUUUUCAUUCCUUCUGGGUCCUUUUGAACUUUUCCAGUUUAACUGCGCAACACAAGUCAUGGCCAUUAAUAGUGCUGCUGGUUAACCUUAUUUUUAUUCAUUUAUUUGUUUAUUUUGGAUCGAUUUGGUUUUCAAAUCAUCAACCUAAGCCUAAAUUAAAAGGAGAGACAUUUCAGAAAAGGGAAGGAAUGAUGAUCAGGUCCGAUUGAGUCAGUGAGAAUGAGACUAUUUAACUGCAAAGGUUGGCAUUGAAUGUAACCCAAAGUUUUGGGCAACGAUGAUCUGAUAAUUAUAAACCAAAAUAUUCAUUUCAGUGAUUAAUGUACAACAUGACUGAAGCUGGCUCUUUAUGUUGUUUUACUCACAAUAUCUUGGCUACGCAGAAAUGCCAAAAACACUUGAAGGGGCGAAAGUGAUUAUUUGACUCGAAACCAGAAGAAAAGCCAACCCCUAAAUCUGCCUCUUGGAUCCUGUUCUUUCUUUUGAACAGUGUGCUUGUACUGCUCGUUUAUACUGUGACAGGUGAGGGGAGAUUUUUAAGCAUUUGUGUAAAACGUUGGAGCAGUUUGAGUGAAAACAGCCUCGAUGGCUCUGAAAUCUCCCUGUCUCAAACCUGACGCGACCAACCGCCGAAUGGAAGGUGACACAUGACAGAAACAACAGACACAGACAAUUCCCUCCCCUACAGAAAGUAUGCAUGACACAUGUAGGCAAUUAUGUUUUGUGGAAAAGCCUGAAGUGAAUUUAAUACUGCGACAAUCUCACUGUUCAAAUCGUCAGUGUGAAACCUGAACGGGAGCAUCUUGAUUGUGCACCGCGCUGCUGAAAAGACUGUCUGGAGCUUUCAAUGAUACUGAGAACAUAUUGUGUUUGUAUAUACAUGGUGCAGCUGAGAGCAGCUUCAUUGUGACACGCAGAAAGAAAAGAGAAGGUUUUUGGGGUCCUCGACAUAACUUUACACAAGCUGGUGCUCAGCCACGGACGGGAAAAAAAACGUUGGGGUUCAAACCCAAACCAACCAAAUACAGUAGCAGAGAAAGACAUGAGAGUAUGUCAUCAAGAUAUGAGUAUGUCAUAAAGACAUGAGAGUAUGUGAUGAAGAUAUGACAGUAUGUGAUGAAGAUAUGAGAGUAUGUCAUGACGAUAUAAGAGUAUGUCAUGAAGAUAUAAGAGUAUUUUAUAAAGAUACGAGAGUAUGUCAUAAAGACAUGAGAGUAUGUGAUGAAGAUAUGAGAGUAUGUCAUAAAGACUUGAGAGUAUGUCAUAAAGAUAUGGAAGUAUGUCAUGAAGACAUGAGAGUAUGUCAUGAAGAUAUGAGAGUAUGAUGAAGAUAUGAGAGUAUGUCAUAAAGACAUGAGAGUAUGUCAUGACGACAUGAGAGUAUGUCAUGAAGAUAUGAGAGUAUGUCAUAUAGACAUGAGAGUAUGAUGAAGAUAUGAGAGUAUGUCAUAAAGACAUGAGAGAAUGUUAUCUCAGAGAGAUUGAGUGACAGCAGUUCCCCCGAAACCACGGCAACACAUGGAAUUCUACCCAAUGGAGGCCAUGACGAAUCAAGAAUUGAAGCGUUGCCGCUUUCCAAUGGAGCAGCAGGCGAGGGAGAGCAGGGACAGGAAUUAUUUAGACGGGGAGGAGUUUGUAAGCUGUACGCAUAUAACAUGUGGAAUUUGACACUGAGAUUAAAGGCAAUCCUCAUUGUGAAUCUAUUUGAAGCUUGUUGUUUGGAGUCAUAUUUAGAUGACAUCUGUAGCACAUUUGUAGCGAGUAACUUUUUUUCCAGAAUGAAUAAAAUAAAUGAAUGAAUACAAAAUGAUACAAUGACCUCAAAGGUGGAGGCUUAUCAGAGCCGUCAUGACUCACAGGUAAAGAUGAUCUUCUUAAUCUCAACAAGUGUGCGUCGACCUCUUGAAUCGAGAUGCUCACAUGGAACAUUGGAGUGGCCACUGCUGUGGUGUGCAACGCCGUUGGCUGCAGUGCUUUGCAGCAGACUCAAGCCUGGACGCAUCAUUAGACAACUGAGAGCUGAGAAUUACACAACUAAUUGUUGAUUUGUACAUUUAGAUCUCCUACCGUCGUACCAGCAAUCAAGAGAAAUAUAUUCAAUUUGAAUAAGAUGGUGCUUGCUUGGCACAACCUUGAGACCAAUUGAAAAUACUCAAGGAAGAGAUAAGUGAACAUUUUGUAUCAAUGCAAGUUAAUCAGAGUCUGGCACAAAGGCCGUCUUGGGAAAUUCCCGACUCCGUUCUGGCAUUGCUUUAAUUUCUGUUUAAUCCCAAGAGCAGGAGUUUAACGAACCAAUUAAUUGCUAGAUCAGAUUUAAUUCCCGAAAGCCUUGAAACCUUCUCUGUGUGAAGGGUUUCUCCAAUGCUCAAGGCUCACGUAUUACUGUCCCUCGUUUAUUUUGAUCGUAAGACCUCUGUUAGAAGCCAACAAGUUCUUGAGUUGUGUUCUCCCACUCUGCCCUUCUCAUCCUGGUGAACAGCUAUAAAGAAACACGUUCUGCUACAUAAGUUAAAUAUUAUCACUUACAAUGGCAUUUACUCUUAGCACUUUGUAGUUUGGCUUUUUGAAGGAAUUGCACUUUCUUGAUUCUUCUCGUUCUGGGUCUGUUCCCUCUAUGUUGAAUAAAUCCGCAAAAUGAAAAAUGUAAAUGUCUAUGACGGAGGUCUUCAACAGGGGGUCUGCGGAGGUACUGCAGGGGGGGGUCACAACAUUUUUGGUUGAUAAGACAAUUUCUUUUCUUUUCUUUUUUUCCAACCAAAAAUUCCACAAAUGUAAAUAUCUUCAGAAUCAGAAGUGUAAUUAUUGUCUUUACAUGCAUAUUAACAUGAAUCCAACAUAUUGUAGGGCACGGAUAAAUGGAUGGAGAAGACGUUAUCUUUCAGUCCGCAACACACACAUUCAGCUUCCCACAGGAGGAGCUCUCUCAAGCUGGGCACCGGUUCAUCAGAUCGUUAUGCCCACGUCUAAAGAGUGCAAACCUCAAAAAUAAAAGAUGCCGGACCAAACUCCGCCAUCAGUUUGGGGGACCUCAGCAUGAAAAACGUUGAGGACCCCUGGUCUAUGACACACAUGUAUUGAUGAAUGUCAAUGUCCGGUCCUGUACGGCUCAGACGGUGCGUAGCCGUCCACUCCAGAUUAGCACAGACUACAAGACAAGUGUCCUGCAGACAGACGACAGACCACGCAGCCAGUCCCCUCAGUAAUCCUGCUGAAAGUCCCCCAAAAACCAGCCCCCCCUCUCCUCAAGGUCCAAAAUCUUAGAUUAUGGAGGUGACAUUUGUCCACAGAGAAUAGGGGGCUGUACGCACCUCAUUACAGAGAAAGCAGGAUAAGGCUGGAAAAGCUCUGAGACGUCUGAGCUGGGUGGGGUCACAGGUGGAGCAGCCCGAGCAACUAAUGCUGAUUUCCUCUUAGUAACCUGAUGGGAUUGAUUAAAAUUAAAAGAACAAAAUAAACUAUGUCAUACCAGAUAAGACAGGCAAACAACUUUUUAAUGUGCUUUGAGGCAAAUUGUUCAUAUAUUGAAUUUUGGUUCACAAUUCCGUAGCCAAAAUGUUUCUGUGUUUAGGGACUCAAUGGAUGAGGUGGGGUUAUAAAGUCAUUACAAGGCAUGCAACUGGGAUUUGGAGAGGACUGGUCCGGCCUAAUGGAGAGUCCAAAGUGGAACCAGGCAGACGCGCGACUGCAACAAAUAGCGCUCGGAGACCACAGAAUGAACAUUAACGAGAGAAUUGCUUGUGUUGGUCAGAGGUCACUUCUCCCUUCAUCUGUUUCCUCCAGGGAAUCUCUGGUUACAGCACAAGGUUUUCAGUGGUGCUGAUGAAGAGGUCGACCCUUCGCGACAUCGCAGUAUUUGUUUGUCCUCCGAACAAAACACACUGAUGAGCUUUUUAUAUUAACAACAACUGAUCAAGAUGAGGCAUAUGUGGAAAUGUAACGAUGUACUCAAAGGUGAAGAAAUCCAAGCAGCUUUAGAAUUGAAAUUAAAAGCAGUGUUUGGUGCUAUGUGAAGUCCGACCUCACCGUAUAAAAGCCUGGAGCCCUGACGCUUAGAGAGGACUGGGGAGAUCAUAAGGAUAGGAGAACAGGUUUGCUCUUCUGGACACUUGUACGGCAACAAAAUCCAGCAGGAACAAACAUCCUCCGAGGAAAGGGCGGGGCAAGCCGUACGCUUGGGGGCUAAUUAGAGUCAAAGCAAUUACUAAAUCAAAAAUGCGAUUAAGAAGGGGUUUGGCGACUCUUUGCCCAUCUGUCUCAUCCCAUGAGGAAGUGAACAUGGGAACAUGAGAGAGAGAUUCUUGAUAACAGCUGAAGUGUGGAGUGAAAACAAUGACUGUUCAUUUGAAAGUGAAAUGUGAUUUGAAUGUGUUUGUACUACAGCUCUUAUGUUCAAGGGGAAUUACGUCUAUGAAGUGCUGUUAACAGAUCAGGAUCACCGUAAGCACUCACUUAUACAAUGUGUGACAUUGAGUGCUUGGAUGGGACGAGGCAAUUAAUCCUCCCUCUCAGCCCGUUGAAUAAACUUCACAACACGUUUUAAAUAUUCAUUUACAUUUUUGUAAUGUGAAUACACCGAUCCCUGGUGAGAUUAUAGCCACAAGGGCAAAUUAAUUGUACUAAACAACAGUUCCGUUUUCCUUUCCAAGAAACCUCCCUUAUUAUUUUAGGGGCAACCUGUUGAGAAAUGGGUUUUUUUCAGCUGCGAUUAAGCAUUCACUGCAUUGGAUCCUGCCAGUGAGAAGCACAUUGAGACAAAGUGAGGACAUAUGCCUCAUCUUUAAACAUAAACUCUCAUCUCAUGUUGUAGUCGGUGUUACAAUUCAAUGACAUUGGUCAAGACAAGACAAGGAGGCCUUUUUCGGAGGACGGAUUAGCUUUGGAUUAGCCAUGUCUGCACAUAUAUGUCAACUGCAAGUCUACUGUCUCAGAUUAAUGCUAGCCCUUCCUAUCGGAUUAGGCUUAAAGGUUUGGACAAUGUGAAAUAAAAGAGGGCCAGAAAGGAAGGCAAUUGUCUCAUUAACCCCUUAAACCAAUUCAACCACUGGUUUGGGUGCUAGAUUUCAGAGAAGGUAGCCAGGAUAUUAUAGAGAUCUCUAUAUAUAGAGAAAGAUUAGUCCUUCACUCUCAGCAGGAUUCCACAAAUGUCAGUGAGUAAAAAAAAGUCCAAAAGUCCAAAAUGACUU